CGAACGGCAGGCACGGGAGCAAUCCUGGUGGCGAGUGGCGAACGGGUGAGUAAUAUAUCGGAACGUGCCCAGGUCGUGGGGGAUAACGUAGAGAAAUUUACGCUAAUACCGCAUACGAUCUAAGGAUGAAAGCGGGGGAUUCGCAAGAACCUCGCGCGAUUGGAGCGGCUGAUAUCAGAUUAGGUUGUUGGUGAGGUAAAGGCUCACCAAGCCGACGAUCUGUAGCUGGUCUGAGAGGACGACCAGCCACACUGGGACUGAGACACGGCCCAGACUCCUACGGGAGGCAGCAGUGGGAAUUUUGGACAAUGGGCACAAGCCUGAUCCAGCAAUGCCGCGUGCAGGAUGAAGGCCUUCGGGUUGUAAACUGCUUUUGUACGGAACGAAACGGUGAGCUCUAAUACAGUUUGCUAAUGACGGUACCGUAAGAAUAAGCACCGGCUAACUACGUG
rnacentral:rRNA from 1 species